rnacentral:rRNA from 1 species
AGAACGAACGCUGGCGGCAUGCCUAAUACAUGCAAGUCGAACGAACUCUUCGGAGUUAGUGGCGCACGGGUGCGUAACGCGUGGGAAUCUGCCCCUUGGUUCGGAAUAACAGUUGGAAACGACUGCUAAUACCGGAUGAUGACGAAAGUCCAAAGAUUUAUCGCCAAGGGAUGAGCCCGCGUAGGAUUAGCUAGUUGGUGAGGUAAGGCUCACCAAGGCAACGAUCCUUAGCUGGUCUGAGAGGAUGAUCAGCCACACUGGGACUGAGACACGGCCCAGACUCCUACGGGAGGCAGCGAGUAGGGAAUAUUGGGACAAGUGGGACGAAAGCCUGAAUCCAGACAAGUGCCGCGUGAGUUGAGUAGAAGGUCCGUUUAAGGGUUA